rnacentral:rRNA from 1 species
UACGACUACAUAUCAGGCAUAUCAAUAAGCGGAGGAAAAGAAACUAACAAGGAUUCCCUUAGUAACGGCGAGUGAAGCGGGAAGAGCUCAAAUUUGAAAUCUUCAAGGUUUUACCUUGACGAAUUGUAGUUUAAAGAAGUGUUUUCUGUUGAAGUUUCGGUAAAAGUUCUUUGGAAUAGGACAUCAUAGAGGGUGAGAAUCCCGUAUUUGACCGUUAUUUUCAGCUGUGUGAUACACUUUCAAAGAGUCGGAUUGUUUGGGAAUGCAGUCCAAAAUGGGUGGUAAAUUUCAUCUAAAGCUAAAUAUUGGCGAGAGACCGAUAGCGAACAAGUACCGUGAGGGAAAGAUGAAAAGAACUUUGAAAAGAGAGUUAAACAGUACGUGAAAUUGUCAAAAGGGAAGCGUUUGACACCAGUGUUGUUUUCUCGAAAAUCAAUUAAAAAUAGAUUUGAUUUUGUGUUGUAUUGACCUCCUUAAAAGCUUUCUUCACUUUUUUCAUGUCUUUUUUAAUGCACUUUUCGUUUAACAAGUCAGCAUCAGUUUCUUUUGUUGUAAAAAGGUCAUUGGAAGGUGGCUUUCUUUUCGGAGAAAGUGUUUAUAGCCUUUGACUCCUGCAAUCGGAGAGACUGAGGUCUGCAGCGUAGAUCCUUCUGGAUUAGAUUCAUUUGUGCUAAGUUAUAGCUUUUUCAUAGACAACAUUGUUGACUAUAUUUUAGUCAUGUAACUUACUCGCUUAUGUAAUUUUACCUACGCUUAGGAUGUUGACGCGCGUGUGUGCGUG